AUACGGAGGAUGCGAGCGUUAUCCGGAUUUAUUGGGUUUAAAGGGUGCGUAGGCGGACGAUUAAGUCAGCUGUGAAAUGCCGGCGCUCAACGUCGGAAGUGCCUCCCGAACUGGUGGACUGGAAUGACUCUGCCGUGGGAGGAAUGUGUAGUGUAGCGGUGAAAUGCUUAGAGAUUACACAGAACACCGAUUGCGAAGGCAUCUCACGAAGGGUUGAUUGACGCUGAGGCACGAAAGCGUGGGGAUCAAACAGGAUUAGAUACCCUGGUAGUCCACGCAGUAAACGAUGAUUACUAGCUGUUUGCGAUAUACAGUAAGUGGCACAGCGAAAGCGUUAAGUAAUCCACCUGGGGAGUACGCCGGCAACGGUGAAACUCAAAUGAAUUGGCGGGG
rnacentral:rRNA from 1 species